GAGUUUGAUCUUGGCUCAGAUUGAACGCUGGCGGCAUGCCUUACACAUGCAAGUCGAACGGCAGCACGGGAGCUUGCUCCUGGUGGCGAGUGGCGAACGGGUGAGUAAUGCAUCGGAACGUAUCCUGGAGUGGGGGAUAACGUAGCGAAAGUUACGCUAAUACCGCAUAUUCUGUGAGCAGGAAAGCGGGGGACCUUUCGGGCCUCGCUCUUGGAGCGGCCGAUGUCGGAUUAGCUAGUUGGUGAGGUAAAGGCUCACCAAGGCGACGAUCCGUAGCAGGUCUGAGAGGGAUGAUCUGCCACACUGGAACUGAGACACGGUCCAGACUCCUACGGGAGGCAGCAGUGGGGAAUUUUGGACAAUGGGGGCAACCCUGAUCCAGCCAUGCCGCGUGAGUGAAGAAGGCCU
rnacentral:rRNA from 1 species